UUGAGAUGCGUCAGCUUCCUUUGAGAAGAAUUGCGUAAGAGGUAUUCAAGCUAAUAGGGAAAGAAUUUCAAAAUUAUUGCAUGAGUCACUAAUGCUUGUCACAUCCUUGAACCCAAAAAUCGGUUAUGACAAAGCCGCAGCAGUUGCCAAGACAGCGCACAAAGAGGGAACCACUCUUAAGGAUGCUGCGUUGAAGCUUGGAGUACUAACCUGUGAAGAAUUUGACACUCUUGUGGUGCCUGAGAAAAUGAUUGGCCCAACCGAUUGACCGAAUAUUAGGUUUAUGUAAAAGCUUCAGGGAUAGUUCCCUGUUGCAUUGAAGUAUUAUUUUUUUAACCCA